UACUUGGAUAACUGUGGAAAAGCUAGAGCUAAUACAUGCGGAGGAGCGCAUUUAUUAGAAUAAAGCCAAUCUUGGUGAAUCUGAAUAACUCACGGUCUUGGUACCGGCGACAUAUCUUUCAAAUGUCUGCCUUAUCAACUUUCGAUGGUAGUUUAUGCGCCUACCAUGGUUGUAACGGGUAACGAAGAAUCAGGGUUUGAUUUCGGAGAGGGAGCCUGAGAAACGGCUACCACAUCCAAGGAAGGCAGCAGGCACGCAAAUUACCCACUCCCGGCGGGGAGGUAGUGACGAAACAUAACGAGGCGAUUCUCUACGCCAUCGGAAUGGGUACAAUUUAAAUCCUUUAACGAGGAUCUAUUGGAGGGCAAGUCUGGUGCCAGCAGCCGCGGUAAUUCCAGCUCCAAUAGCGUAUAUUAACGUUGUUGCGGUUAAAAAGCUCGUAGUUGGAUCUGCUAGGAAGGCGGUCUGCCAAACGGUGUGUGUCCGGUUUUCCCUUGAUGCUCUUUAUUGAGUGUCCUGGGUGGCUGGAGAGUUUACUUUGAAAAAAUUAGAGUGCUCAAAGCAGGCGGUCUGCCUGAAUAAUGGUGCAUGGAAUAAUGGAAUAGGAGGUUCUAUUUUGUUGGUUUUCGGAGCACGAGGUAAUGAUUAAAAGGGACAGACGGGGACAUUCGUAUUGUGGCGCUAGAGGUGAAAUUCUUGGA
rnacentral:rRNA from 1 species